UCCUACGGGAGGCAGCAGUAAGGAGUAUUGGUCAAUGGAGGCAACUCUGAACCAGCCAUGCCGCGUGCAGGAUGAAGGCCCUAUGGGUCGUAAACUGCUUUUAUACCGGAGAAAACCACCGUACGUGUACGGUGUUGAUAGUAUGGUAAGAAUAAGCAUCGGCUAACUUCGUGCCAGCACCCGCGGUAAU
rnacentral:rRNA from 1 species